rnacentral:rRNA from 1 species
AUGGAGGUGGUGACCGGUGCCAUGGGAAGCUUGCUCCCCAAGCUCGGCGAGCUGCUCGUGGGUGAGUACAAGCUGCAGAAGGGCGUCAAGGAGGACGUUGAGUCCCUCCAGAGGGAGAUGAAGAGCAUGAACGCUGCCCUCGUCAAGGUGGCGGAGGUGCCAAGGGACCAGCUGGACAACCAGGUCAUCAUCUGGGCUGACGAGCUCAGGGAGCUUUCAUACGACAUGGAGGAUGUUGUCGACAACUUUCUUGUGUACGUCAAGGGAUCUGAAUCCGAUGCUGUCACCGACUCAAACAAGCUCAAAGGGCUAAUGGUGAAGAUGGCCAACUUGUUCACCAAAGGCAAGACUCGCCAUCAGAUCGCCGAUGCCAUGAAGGACAUCAAGAACCGCGCCCAAGAGGUGGCUGACCGGCAUAACAGGUACAGGGUCGACGAUGCAGUUGCCAAUGCAGCUAGCAAACACAAGGUGGACCCUCGUGUGCUGGCUCUGUACAAGAAUCAGAAAGAGCUCGUUGGCAUCGAAGACGCACAGAAUGAGCUAACCAAGAGGCUCACAGAUGGUGAUGGUGAUGGUGAUGGCGAUGUUCCCAAGCAGCAGCCCAAGAUGAAGGUAGUCUCUAUUGUUGGACCUGGAGGGCUUGGCAAGACUACACUUGCUAAGGCAGUGUAUGAUAGGCUUCAAACACAAUUUGAAUACACAGCUUUUGUUCCGAUGGGUCGAAACCCUAGAGUGAAGAAAGUUCUCAGGGAUAUCCUCUUGGAAGUUGGCAAGAGUGAGUGUAUUGGUGAUGUAGCCAUACUGGAUGAAAUACAACUCAUUGACAAACUCCGACGACGACUUGAGAACGCAAGGUACUUAAUUGUCAUUGAUGACAUAUGGGAUUUAGAAGCAUGGAAAAUUAUCAAAUGUGCUUUCAUUGAUAACAAUCAUGGAAGCCGAGUAAUCACAACCACUUGUAUUCUCGAUGUUGCCACAAACACCGGUGAUAUUUACAAGCUAAAACCCCUGUCUCAACAUUUGUCUGAAGUAUUAUUCUAUACAAGAUUGUUUGGUGGUAAAGAUAAAUGCCCUUUUGAUCAACCAGCUGAAGUAUCGGACAAAAUUUUACAGAAAUGUGGAGGUGUGCCAUUAGCUAUAAUUACAAUAGCUAGUUUGUUGGCUGGUAAACCUAUGGAGAACUGGUCUAAAGUAUUCAACUCUAUUGGUUUUGGAUCUGGAGAUAAUAACACAGAUGUAGAGAACACGAGGAAGAUAUUAUCAUUUAGUUAUUAUGAUCUCCCUUGUUAUCUAAGGCCUUGUCUCCUACAUCUGAGCGUAUACCCAGAAGACUAUGUGAUCAUGAAAGACAAAUUGAUAUGGCAGUGGGUAGCCGAAGGUUUCGUCAAUAAGGAACCAGGGGUAAGUUUAUAUGAGACCGGAGAAAGAUAUUUUAAUGAACUCUUAAAUAGAAGCAUGAUCCAGCCGGUAGAGUACCACCAUAGUUACAUAAUAGAUUCUUGUCGUAUUCAUGAUAUGGUGCUGGAUAUGAUUUGUUCAUUAUCAAAGGAGCAAAAUUUUGUUACUAUAUUGGAUAGUAACGAAGAGCACACACCUUCACAAUGCAAUGCCCGCAGGUUAGCUGUCCAAAAAAGAGUUGUGCCUCUGACUAACAUGAACAUGCCCAAACUGAGGUCGUGCUAUGCCACCAUGUGUGAUCCCAAUGCGGUGCCAUCACUUUCAAACUUUCAAGUGCUACGUGUUCUAGCCAUGGAAAAGUGCAGUUUUAAGAGGGACCGUCCUUACCAUCUUGAGUAUCUUGGGAGGUUACCUCAGUUGAGAUACCUGGGUCUGGAGGGCACACAUAUUAGUAAGCUGCCAGAAGAGAUAGGAAAUCUGAAGUUUCUGCAGACACUGGACUUGAAUGACACUAAUAUAGAAGAGUUACCACAGAGUAUUGGUUUGCUAAGAAAACUCAAAUGUCUGCGUGCUGAUGUGUAUGAUGAUGGUAUAAUAACAGUGCCGGAUGGGAUAGGGAACCUGACAUCCUUGGAGGAGCUACAUUUGAGUAUUGUUGAUGAGUCUUAUAUCUUCGUGAAAGAGCUCAGCAAGCUGACAGAGCUGAGGGUGCUCACCUUCACUUGUACUUACACUGCAGGUGUGGAUGAGUGCUGGAAGAAAAGUUUUGUAGAGUCUUUAUGCAAUCUGCAAAAAAUACAAGUCCUACAACAAAACUUUUGCUUCACUGAGGAGAAGAUUGAGACGUUUGAGGAGGUUCCCUGUGACUACUGGGAAGGCUAUAAGCCCUCUCGGCAACUACGUGAUUUGGCCAUAAAGGGCCGUUUCAGCAGAUUGCCGGCGUGGAUUAAUUCCAUGUUUCUUCCGAAUCUCUCCAUCCUAAACAUAGACGUGGAUGAUUUGGGCGAGCAGGACGUGGUGAAUCUUGGGAGUUUGCCAGAGCUUACUGUCCUUGGAGGGAAUUGCGUUCUGGAGGGCAUGGAAUUCCCUAAUGGCACGUUCCCCAAGUUGAGGAGUUGCACAUGCAAGGUGUCUGGGCCAUUCUGGUUUCUGCAAGGAUCUAUGGAGAGCCUUGAAUCCAUUUUUCUUGAAGUGUGUGCCUGGAAGGAUGCCAGCACUGGCUUUGACUUUAUCAGUAGCCUGGGGAACCUCCCUUCGCUUAAGAGAGUGAUCGCUCAGGUCUAUGCUUCUGAUGUUGAAAAGGUGCACGCAGCGGUGAGGCAAGCAAUCAAGACCCAUCCCAAUCGUCCCAUCAGUUAUCUCUUACCAUAUGGUCAAUCUCAGACUGAUGAAGAAGAAUCAGACUCGGAACAGACCAAACGGGAGUUGCUAGCAGCCUCCUCUUUGGAUCAUACUACCACUGUUGAUACGUCUGCGCAGGUAAUCGACAACAGCAACGACAAGGAAGAAGAAUCAGACUCCAACCAUCCCGUCCCUCAUCUGACAGAGAGCAGCAUUGACGCCGCCAGUACAUCUCCUCCGGUGCGCGUGCAGUGA